rnacentral:rRNA from 1 species
CAGCCGCCGCGGUAAUACGUAGGUGGCAAGCGUUGUCCGGAUUUAUUGGGCGUAAAGCGAGCGCAGGCGGUUUCUUAAGUCUGAUGUGAAAGCCCCCGGCUCAACCGGGGAGGGUCAUUGGAAACUGGGAGACUUGAGUGCAGAAGAGGAGAGUGGAAUUCCAUGUGUAGCGGUGAAAUGCGUAGAUAUAUGGAGGAACACCAGUGGCGAAGGCGGCUCUCUGGUCUGUAACUGACGCUGAGGCUCGAAAGCGUGGGGAGCAAACAGGAUUAGAUACCCCAGUAGUCCCUGUCUCUUAUCC